UCCCUAGUAACUGCGAGUGAAGCGGGAAAAGCUCAAAUUUAAAAUCUGGCAGUUUCACUGUCCGAGUUGUAAUCUGGAGAAGCAUUUUCCGCGUCAGACCGUGUACAAGUCUCUUGGAACAGAGCGUCAUAGAGGGUGAGAAUCCCGUCCAUGACACGGACUACUGAUGCUUUGUGAUAUGCUCUCGAAGAGUCGAGUUGUUUGGGAAUGCAGCUCAAAAUCGGGUGGUAAAUUCCAUCUAAAGCUAAAUAUUGGCGAGAGACCGAUAGCGAACAAGUACCGUGAGGGAAAGAUGAAAAGCACUUUGGAAAGAGAGUUAAACAGUACGUGAAAUUGUUGAAAGGGAAACGCUUGAAGUCAGUCGCGUUGUCUGAGACUCAGCCUUGCUUGCAUGGUGUACUUCUCAGUUAACGGGUCAACAUCAAUUUCAGUUGGUGGAUAAAGGCAUUGGGAAUGUGGCACCUUCGGGUGUGUUAUAGCCCUUUGUUGCAUACACUGACCGGGAUUGAGGAACGCAGCACGCCACUAAGGCCAGGGGUUCGCCCCAUGUAACGUGCUUAGGAUGUUGGCAUAAUGGCUUUAAGCGACCCGUCUUGAACACGGACCA
rnacentral:rRNA from 1 species